rnacentral:rRNA from 1 species
ACUCCUACGGGAGGCAGCAGUGGGGAAUAUUGGACAAUGGGCGCAAGCCUGAUCCAGCCAUGCCGCGUGUGUGAAGAAGGCCUUUUGGUUGUAAAGCACUUUAAGCGAGGAGGAGGCUACCUNUAUUAAUACUAUAGGAUUAGUGGACGUUACUCGCAGAUAAGCACCGCUAACUCUGUGCCAGCAGCCGCGGUAAUACAGAGGGUGCGAGCGUUAAUCGGAAUUACUGGGCGUAAAGCGCGCGUAGGCGGUUUGUUAAGUCGGAUGUGAAAUCCCCGGGCUCAACCUGGGAAUUGCAUUCGAUACUGGCAGCUAGAGUAUGGGAGAGGAAGGUAGAAUUCCAGGUGUAGCGGUGAAAUGCGUAGAGAUCUGGAGGAAUACCGAUGGCGAAGGCAGCCUUCUGGCCUAAUACUGACGCUGAGGUGCGAAAGCAUGGGGAGCAAACAGGAUUAGAUACCCUGGUAGCUACGAGU